GACGAACGCUGGCGGCGUGCCUAAUACAUGCAAGUAGAACGCUGAAGUGAGGAGCUUGCUCUUCUUGGAUGAGUUGCGAACGGGUGAGUAACGCGUAGGUAACCUGCCUUGUAGCGGGGGAUAACUAUUGGAAACGAUAGCUAAUACUGCAUAACAAUGGAUGACACAUUUCAUUUAUUUGAAAGGGGCAAUUGCUCCACUACAAGAUGGACCUGCGUUGUAUUAGCUAGUAGGUGAGGUAACGGCUCACCUAGGCGACGAUACAUAGCAGACCUGAGAGGGUGAGCGACAAAACUGGGACUGAGAAACGGCCAAGAGUCGUACGGGAGGCAGCAGUAGGGAAUCUUAGGCAAUGGAGGAAAGUCUGACGGAGCAAGGCAGAGUGAGUAAAGAAGGUUUUCGGAUGGGAAGACUCUGUGGUUGGAGAAGAAGAAGGAGGUAAGUAACUGAACGUACCGUGACGGUAUCUAACCAGAAAGGCACGGCUAACUACGUG
rnacentral:rRNA from 1 species